rnacentral:rRNA from 1 species
CAGUCGACGAACUCUGGUAUUGAUUGGUGCUUGCAUCAUGAUUUACAUUUGAGUGAGUGGCGAACUGGUGAGUAACACGUGGGAAACCUGCCCAGAAGCGGGGGAUAACACCUGGAAACAGAUGCUAAUACCGCAUAACAACUUGGACCGCAUGGUCCGAGUUUGAAAGAUGGCUUCGGCUAUCACUUUUGGAUGGUCCCGCGGCGUAUUAGCUAGAUGGUGAGGUAACGGCUCACCAUGGCAAUGAUACGUAGCCGACCUGAGAGGGUAAUCGGCCACAUUGGGACUGAGACACGGCCCAAACUCCUACGGGAGGCAGCAGUAGGGAAUCUUCCACAAUGGACGAAAGUCUGAUGGAGCAACGCCGCGUGAGUGAAGAAGGGUUUCGGCUCGUAAAACUCUGUUGUUAAAGAAGAACAUAUCUGAGAGUAACUGUUCAGGUAUUGACGGUAUUUAACCAGAAAGCCACGGCUAACUACGUGCCAGCAGCCGCGGUAAUACGUAGGUGGCAAGCGUUGUCCGGAUUUAUUGGGCGUAAAGCGAGCGCAGGCGGUUUUUUAAGUCUGAUGUGAAAGCCUUCGGCUCAACCGAAGAAGUGCAUCGGAAACUGGGAAACUUGAGUGCAGAAGAGGACAGUGGAACUCCAUGUGUAGCGGUGAAAUGCGUAGAUAUAUGGAAGAACACCAGUGGCGAAGGCGGCUGUCUGGUCUGUAACUGACGCUGAGGCUCGAAAGUAUGGGUAGCAAACAGGAUUAGAUACCCUGGUAGUCCAUACCGUAAACGAUGAAUGCUAAGUGUUGGAGGGUUUCCGCCCUUCAGUGCUGCAGCUAACGCAUUAAGCAUUCCGCCUGGGGAGUACGGCCGCAAGGCUGAAACUCAAAGGAAUUGACGGGGGCCCGCACAAGCGGUGGAGCAUGUGGUUUAAUUCGAAGCUACGCGAAGAACCUUACCAGGUCUUGACAUACUAUGCAAAUCUAAGAGAUUAGACGUUCCCUUCGGGGACAUGGAUACAGGUGGUGCAUGGUUGUCGUCAGCUCGUGUCGUGAGAUGUUGGGUUAAGUCCCGCAACGAGCGCAACCCUUAUUAUCAGUUGCCAGCAUUAAGUUGGGCACUCUGGUGAGACUGCCGGUGACAAACCGGAGGAAGGUGGGGAUGACGUCAAAUCAUCAUGCCCCUUAUGACCUGGGCUACACACGUGCUACAAUGGAUGGUACAACGAGUUGCGAACUCGCGAGAGUAAGCUAAUCUCUUAAAGCCAUUCUCAGUUCGGAUUGUAGGCUGCAACUCGCCUACAUGAAGUCGGAAUCGCUAGUAAUCGCGGAUCAGCAUGCCGCGGUGAAUACGUUCCCGGGCCUUGUACACACCGCCCGUCACACCAUGAGAGUUUGUAACACCCAAAGUCGGUGG